AAAAAAAAAACCGUCCCUGGGAAGUGAGACAGGCCAGAUAUUUGCGCUAAAAAUGUGAACAUGCAGUGUGCUUGUAAUCACCUAGCAUGCUCGUGUAGGGCAAGGUGCUGGCUGUGACGACUGCCACCACACAUACAGACACCCAGGCACACGCAGGCAUCACCAAAUACGAGAAGACGGCAGAGGUCACACAGCAGCUCAUCCCACAGCAGGCUGCCCUCCCCUGUGCCGCCACCACCACCACCACUACCAGUGAGGGAGGAGGCAGAGGUACAGCUCACCAAAUUGUCAGAUGAUGGAGAGAAGAAUUUUCUCACCUUGAAGAUAGAGGAGAAGAGCAAACUGGAGGAAACCAACUGGGAGGAGGAGGAAAAACUUUGCUCCAGUCUAAUGGAGAGAGAGAGAGAGAGAGAGAGAGAGAGAGAGAGAGAGAGAGAGAGAGAGAGAAGGAAAAUUCACAGGAGCAAAGGUCAG